AUGAAUCUUCUAUCAGUGAAAUUGUGAAGAAGGAAAAAGAAAUUUGAGCUAGAUUUGCCAUCACCCCUCAAACUGCAAGAGUUAUGGCUGAGAUUUCCCUGGUGGUCCAGUGGUUAAGGCUCUGAGCUCCCACUGCAAGGGGCACAGCUUUGAUCCCUCAUCUGGGAACUAAGAUCCCACAUGCAUUGCAGCAUGGUCAAUAAAAUAAAAUAAUGUAUUAAUAAUAACAAUAUCCUUUUAAAAUAAUUAUAAAAAAAGAAAAAAAAAGACUUAAUGGCCACAGUACAUGGCAAGUCUUGGUGCAGGUGGAAAAGGCAUGAAAUUUGUACAAUAAGGAAUUUUGAGAGAGAGAGAGAGGACGUUCACAAAAAUUUUACUAUAGUGUAUUGUAGCCAUUUCCUUCUCCAGGGGAUCUUCCUGACCCAGGGAUCAAACCCAGGUCUCGUGCACGGCAGGUGGAUUCUUUACCGUCUGAACCACUGAGGAAGCCUUAAACAUGUUUCCAUCCAGUUUCAAACUGGGGACAUUUUGCUUGUGAGACAAACAAUAACUACUACACUAUGGAAAUGCUCACCUUAAUUGUAUUUUAUUAUUACUUUUAUCAAUCUCUUCAUGUGCCUAGUUUAUAAAUUAAAGUAUCACAGUUAUAUAUGCAUGGGAAAAAAUAGUAUAUGUGUGGCUCAGUAUUGUCUAUGGUCUCAGGCAUCCACUGGGGAUCUUAGAACGAACAUACCUGCAGGUAAGAGGCAACCACUGGAUCCUGAGCUGUCACCGCAGAUUGAGUCAGCUUACUGUUGAACUCCACAUCCAUGGGGCCAUAUAGGCCUCGCAGGUGGCGCUAGUGGUAAAGAACCCAACUGCCACUGCAGGAGACACAGACUCAGUGAUCCCAGGAGCCAAGGGAGGACUGGAGGCAAUUCUUGGCAGCCGUGGUAGGGGUGACAGUGGCCAGCCUGCCUGGCUGUGAAGUAGUCAGCAAAUCUAUUGCUCCCUGCUUCUUUGCUCCCUGGAGCAUCUUGAAAAACCUCCUUCUCAAGGCUGGGGCCCUCCAUCCUGUCAGUUCUGUAAGUCCGUCUAUAGCCUUCCUGUUGAGUGGGGCAACAUUACUGAUUCCUGGCUAAUGGAAAGUGAAGGGAAGGUACAGACACAACUUCAGGCCCACAAAAUCCUCCUGUGUAAUCCUCUACUCUCUUUCUCUGUCUGCAGGCUGUUUAUUGACCGCUGACCUCCUCGGAAGCCACGUGUGGAAUGGUGGAGCUACCUUAGGCCUGGACAUCUAUACUGCUGUAUGAAGCAGAGUUCCCC
ensembl:lncRNA